rnacentral:rRNA from 1 species
CGGACGGGUGAGUAAUGUCUGGGAAACUGCCUGAUGGAGGGGGAUAACUACUGGAAACGGUAGCUAAUACCGCAUAACGUCGCAAGACCAAAGAGGGGGACCUUCGGGCCUCUUGCCAUCGGAUGUGCCCAGAUGGGAUUAACUAGUAGGUGGGGUAACGGCUCACCUAGGCGACGAUCCCUAGCUGGUCUGAGAGGAUGACCAGCCACACUGGAACUGAGACACGGUCCAG